rnacentral:lncRNA from 1 species
GAGAACAUGAAAUUACUACUAAUUCGGGAUGAAAUCUCAUGCCAAUUUUAAACUUCUGUUAUGCACUGAAGGUACUGUCUGGAACACUUAGACUUCAGGAAUUUUCUUCAUCCUUGGUAAAUUUAUUUGUUCAUGCAAUCUAUCAAUCAAGGACAUGAUAUCACUACUAAAACACAACACAAAACCACUUUUUUUUUUUUUUCUAUUUUUUUUUUCUCUAUUUCAUAGAACAAGACCCCCAGAAGAAAAUGACUGUGCUACUUUAGGACCCCUUUUGCUCAACCAUGUUCAAGUGCUUGUGAAGCUACAGUUUGAACCCAUCAAAAGAAAUCCAGAUGCUGAGGAAAGCUGAUCAAAAUAAAUGUUGAUUCUAAUGAUCCCUCAUCCUGGAAAAUGCUAAAUGGACAAGAGGAGAAAGAAUGCAUGUUAAGGAGUAGCAGCGCACCUUCACAAUACAUCCAACAAUGCUAUGGAUUUCAUAUAUAACAUUUAGUAUUUGUUAUGGAGUUAGAAUGAUAUGGAUACAAGGAAUAUGAAAUAAAAGGUAUAUGUCCAAUAAUAAUACUUUUCA